rnacentral:lncRNA from 1 species
UUGUUCUGUGAUUUACUCCUCCCAUGUUUGAGUUUUUGCCUGCCUCACUAACGACGCCUUUUUCCUAUUCCCUGCCUGUACUUUAGCCUAUCAGAUUUCCUGUUAUCAUCCUAUUGCCUGAUCUCCUGGACAGCGAGACACAUCCCUGACAAGUUCUGCCAAAAUCUUUCCUCUGCAUCACAACAGACAAGUAAUAGCCCUUAUGUACAUUCGAUGUUCUGCCAAAAUCUUUCCUCUGCAUCACAACAGACAAUAUCUAACAAAGAGACAUUGACAGGGGAGAUCACCAUGAGGGCUGCCUGUCACAGGUCCAUGAGGAAGAGUGAAAAGCCACACAGCAUGAGAGAAGUGCUCUGUUCAAUCAUCUGGUGGCCCUUCUUUACCAGACAGCGCACUACUCUCAGCUAAACAUUCCUGCUGCACCACCAGUUCACAGCUGCACAGACACAGAACAGCGUUGGCACAAGCCAAGAACACUUGGUGUGAAACCAGGUCCGGUUGAUGGGAUAGAGUUCCGUAAACCUACUAACUCGUGUGCUGAUGGAAUAAGAAGUUCUCUCUACAAAACACUCAAUGGAUACAUGCCUGACAUGGACCUUCUCCGCCUCCCAGAAACGUAUGCCAACUUUUCUCCACUUACUGCCCCGCUUGUGACAACAAUGGAAAUGUCAGCUGACGUGCCCCUGGUUGAGUCUGCCUUUGGGCCAGUGCAAGCCGGCAGUGUUCUGUCCUAUCAGCUUCCACAGCCAAAGACCCGUGAAAUUGUGAAGAUUGCCGAUGCCACUUCUCCACCAAUACUUCCAUUAGAUGGCUACAGGCUUCAGGCUUCCCAGUGUGCUUACGUCCUUAGCCAUCAGGAGCAGUUCCACCUCAAGGCAUUAGAGACAACCUACGAGAUGUCACACAAAGUCGAGGUUGCUACAAGGGAGCAGAGCAGCAUCCCG